CAGACGUCAUUAUUCGUUUACAAAUUGACGCAUUUUUUAAUCCAAAUAAAAAUUGAUCGCAACAAGUUGUUUCUCCCGAUGUGCACUUCUUCGUUAUUUUAAAUACCCAAAAAAAUGCAGCUGAAGAUCAUCGAUUGCUUGAAGAAACUGGUUACUUGAAUCCAUCAUACAAAACAUGUAGACGGUGGUUUGAACCAUUCUAAAAUGGUGAUUAUAAUAACAAUUAUCAAGGGUCAUGGUAAAAUUUGAAGAUCCGAGAUUGCAAGCUCUUUCGAUUUAAAAUUCAGUGCAGACACUGAAAAAACUUGUUCAACAGCUUAGAAUCGGACACCAUUUUUGUACGCUUACAUGUCACACAAACAAUCCAAAAGCUCGCGAGGCAAAAAACGAAAACAUUUAAGUGACGUACUCCGGCUCGAAAUAAGAACUGCAUUUAUUUCUACAAGUCAAAAUGUAAAAUAUCAUGGGUGAACUCCGAUCAAUUAGCGACAUCAAGCUCAAAACGAAAUAUCCACGGAUCCAAAGAUUUUUUUGUUUUUGGCGAGAUAUGGCAGUUGCUUUGGAUGUAAAACAAAAACUGUUGGAGCUCGUAUGGGAGGUUUUCCCGUAUCCAGCGUAUUCACUGUACUUGGCUCCGUCGGAUUAUCAUCUAUUCCGUUCAAUGCAACACGAUCAGGAAGAUACACGUUUCGCAAACUAUGGAGAAGUUCACACACAUCAACUGGUUGCUGAAUGGAUCGACUCAAAAAACAAGCCAUUCUAUCGUCGUGGAGUCCAACUUUUGCCAGAAAGAUAGGAAAUGGUCGUAGCUACCGAGAGAAAAUACUUUGAUUAAUGUAUUUUUUCAAUUUGUUAUUGAAAUAAACAAAAAACGAUGAAAA
rnacentral:lncRNA from 1 species